UGUUGCCCAGGCUAGACUUGAACUCCUGAUCUCAAGCAAUCCUCCCAUCUUGGCCUCCCAAAGUGCUGGGCUUAUGGUCGUGAGCCACUGUGUCUAUUCCAAAGCCAUGUUUUUAAAACUCGGCAGUUUAAAAACACUGCUCCUUUCACUCCCUCAAGCAGGCUGGUUGGCCUUGUACAAACUGGAGUGUCUGGACCUUGGUCCCCCUUUGAUUUUUCCCUUUGGCCUCAAAUUCUGAUGAAAACAGCCGUUACAAAAGGGGCAUUAGGUGACUCUUCAGUUACUCAAGCCAGAAUUCUCACUAGUUAGAGAUGUUUGUCCCCAGGAUCCCAGAAAGCUGUUUUUGAAUCAAGCCCAUAGCAAAUAAGAAAGGAACUAAAGCCUUGGUCCUCUGCUUAGUAUCUGGGGAAUGUGUUAUUGCUCACACCCUUUCAUCUGUGCUGACGUGCUGCAUCUCAUCACGGGAAGCAGAGUCGCCCUGUAGAAUAAAGGCAGGCUCACGGUGGCACAUCGGGAUGCUCCGGGCUGCCAAUCCCUUAGAUGGCGGCAGACCUGGAGACUCAGCAUCUCGUGCAGUGCCCGGGCAACCGGGGUGCAUCAUCUUUGGAGACCACACAGCUGGCCGCUGCCGCCUCCUAGGACAGAACACUUUCAGCUCUGUGAGUAGGAAUUAAACAUUUUCUAAAUCAGAAGUUUCAGUUAAGCAGUAUUUUACAUGAAUGCCCAGUCCCUAAGUGCUCACUGUACUUGUGUGUGGUGUAGAGGAAGGAACGGGGGCUUGGGGCCAGGUCUAUGGUGCAGUGUCUUGGUUCCCAUCUGUGAGAUGAGGGCCGUGAGAAUGGCCUAGAAGGUUCACUGUGGGAUUGAAUGGAUCUGCCCACUCCUGGGAAGCCUCGAGUCUACCUCGACUUGGGCUGGUUUUAGGGAGAUGCUGGCAGCGCCGUCCUCACAGGUCAGUGGGAGGGGCUCUGGCACCGUCCCCUUCAGGUGUCUCAUGAUCAGCCCAACUUGCUCAUCUCAGAAGCUGCUGGUCGUGUUCUUGUUCCUGUUGUUGCGUGUUACUUAGGUCCUGUUCAUGUGGGGACCUAGGAAGUUCCCACAGUGAGAGGAGAGCUGCUGAGCCACCUUCCUGCCUGGACGCCAGCCCCACGGAGGACCGUGACUGCUUGAGGUUGGCUUCUGCCCCCGUCCUCACCUGUGGAUGCGUUGAUGUAGUGGUACUAUCUAAGCUCCUGGGGCACACAGCGCAGUUAUGUGGAUCCACAGGACACUAUGGCAUCCAAACACGUGCUCCUGGAGGAGAGGACCCUGCGGGUGCUGAUGCUGGGAGCUGGCUGAGAGUCCAGCGUGUGAGACUCCCUGUGACGUGCACAGCUGCCAUCUGCGCAGGCCCUCGUGACCCCAAGAUGGUCAUGCGAUAAAUGCACAAAGCGCAUCUCCAACAAAAAGCCGCCAAGCA